UAGAAAUACGCUCCUUUGCGUGUUUUAGUCUGGCAUAGAGAAAUUCAUUUAGACGUGUGAUUUCUCUAUGCUUUUAUUAUAUCA
rfam:Lactobacillus backii strain TMW 1.1989 plasmid pL11989-2, complete sequence.